rnacentral:rRNA from 1 species
GACGAACGCUGGCGGCAUGCCUAAUACAUGCAAGUCGAGCGAACAGAUGAAGUGCUUGCGCUUCUGACGUUAGCGGCGAACGGGUGAGUAACACGUAAGGAAUCUACCUAUAAGCGGGGGAUAACAUUCGGAAACGGGUGCUAAUACCGCAUAAUAUCUUCUUCCGCAUGGAAGAAGAUUGAAAGACGGCUCUGCUGUCACUUAUAGAUGACCUUGCGGUGCAUUAGUUAGUUGGUGGGGUAAUGGCCUACCAAGACGAUGAUGCAUAGCCGACCUGAGAGGGUGAUCGGCCACAUGGGGACUGAGACACGGCCCAAACUCCUACGGGAGGCAGCAGUAGGGAAUCUUCCGCAAUGGGCGAAAGCCUGACGGAGCAAUGCCGCGUGAGUGAAGAGGGCCUUCGGGUCGUAAAACUCUGUUAUAAGAGAAGAACAAAUUGUAGAGUAACUGCUACAGUCUUGACGGUAUCUUAUCAGAAAGCCACGGCUAACUACGUGCCAGCAGCCGCAGUAA